AAGCUCGUAGUUGAAUUUCGGGCCUGGCUGGGUGGUCUGCUUAACGGCAUGUACUGUCUGGCUGGGUCUUACCUCUUGGUGAGCCGGUGUGCCCUUUAUUGGUGUGCAUUGGGGAACCAGGACUUUUACCUUGAGAAAAUUAGAGUGUUCAAAGCAGGCUUAUGCCCGAAUACAUUAGCAUGGAAUAAUAAAAUAGGACGUGUGGUUCUAUUUUGUUGGUUUCUAGAGUCGCCGUAAUGAUUAAUAGGGAUAGUUGGG
rnacentral:rRNA from 1 species